AGUGAACAAUAUAUAAAUUAACUUGCUGAAGGUCGUGUAAUGAACUAAUAAGCUAAUAAAUAAAAAAUAAACAUGGCUAAAAUACUAUUAUUUAAAACUAUAACAAUUAAAGAAUGUAGUAGUGGCAUUAGGAAUAGUUUAACCAAUAUGGCAUGCAAAUGACUAAGGAAUAACUUGGCAAUUGAAAACUAUAAGAAUAUCUCAGAGAGUAUAGCUAAGUGAUUCUGUGUUUAACAUUUUCUAUUGUUACUGUUUUUGAUUCUUGACUGAAUCAGCACCUUGGACACAUUCAGUAAAUACUUUUUUUUAUUACUGAGUUACUUAUAAUCAUAGCUCUGCCUCUUUCACUUCCUAUAUAUAAACAACUACAAAUGAAUAAAAAAUUUAAAUAUUAAAAUAGAAUAUUUUUAUCAUCAUAGAUUUAGGAUAUUUUAGUAAUAUUUUAAAUCUUGAAAUAGUUCUACAAAAGAAUUGC